ACCAUCGAUCGAUCGUUCGUGAGAAAGAACAAGGGAAAAGAAGAAACAAAUGGGCAACCCCAACUCCAAGUCGACCGCCCUGCUCAUCGUCUUCUUCCUCCUAGCCAUCGUGGCGCGGCAGCCAUCGUCGACGGAAGCGUCAAGGGAAAUCAAGCCCGCCUACACCGCCACCGUUGACGACCUCUUCUUGUUGUUGACGGCGAGGGGAAUGGUCAACCCGGCCGCCGGAGAUCUCGAGGAGAUUAUAAUUAACUAGUGAUGGAUUUUGACAGUGCCGCAGCCAUCUCCGGCGCCCGCUGCGGCUAGUCCUGCGCCGUCGCCGCCUUCAGGGGUGUCACCGUAGGAGCAAAAUGAUGGAUCCAUGGACGGUUUCGUACGCACGCCGAAAGUCCGACAUUCGUGUGGUCAAUAUAUGGCCCAAUCAUCGUUUAUGACUUUACGAGUUUAGGAGGUCAUAACUCAUACGUACUACUAUAUGUAUCUAAGUUUCUAGCAUAAACCUCGAAGAUGGAAUUAUAGUGCGUGGUAUUCUAUAU